rnacentral:rRNA from 1 species
CAUGUAUAAUUGCACAGUAUGCAACCAAAAAUAUACAUAUAUGUUUUACAUGUAUGUGCUUCUAUAUGCCGUUUGACAUGGGAGAUGAGGGAUGUUAUAUAUAGUUCUGUUAUUUUCUAUCAUGUAUGUGUGUUAGAGUGUCUGUGUUAAUAUACUUUUUAAUGCAUGCUCUACAUAAUAUACAGUAGUAAUAACACAGAGAAUACGUAUGGAAUGCGUAUCUCUCUAUAUAUAUUUAUGUAUAUAUGCUAUGUGUAUAUCAACCUCGCAUAUUUUCUCCCUGUUGACCACGGCUCCCACAACGUGUCGCGAUGGAUGACUUGGCUUCCUAUUUCGUUGAAGAACGCAGCAAAGUGCGGUAAGUGGUAUCAAUUGCAGAAUCAUUUCAUUGCCCAAUCUUUGAACGCAAACGGCGCAUGGGAGAAGCU